rnacentral:misc_RNA from 1 species
UUUUUUUUUUGACAAAUAAAAAUCUAUUUUAUUGCCAAUCCACAUCUACAUUUCACACUUGUAGUAAAACGCAGGGUUAACCCUACAAAACAAGCCGAAAACGCACUCCUUUAAGUAUGAGAUGCAUGGGCCAGCCCCAAAUGUUUAUCCUCCCCACAGAAAUGGGCCACGAUAACGCCCACAUCCUCCAAACCAACACCAAUGCAGAGAGGGUUGGCCGGAGUUCUAACAGAAUCACCCAUAUUUCUCUCGUCAAUGGAAUUUCGGACCAUCACAUUAGGCCCGUCCCUGCACUUGCCCAUACACUUGCAGCCGACGACUGCCCCCUCUACACCCACGACCCUCUCUAAUUCCUCCAACAAUGCCGCGCCCCCAGCCUUCUUGCACUUGUUACCCAUGCAUACCUCAAUUCUCUUUGCUGAGCUAUUCCUGUCAUCGCAACAAACACUUGGCUGAACGCACCAUUCUUUUUCAAGAUUUGGUGACGCGCCAAUUGCUUUCAAUUUUUGGGCUGGCAAGAUCGUGAGGGUUGAAGUUACUUCUUGCUGCUGGAAAUCAGCUAGCAUCGGUUGUGCAACCGGAAAAGCUUCACUUCUCAAGUGGCUCAUGUCGAUCAACUCGCCACAUUCGCUGUCACUGGAUUCAGAUGUGGAUGAUUCACAAUCAAUCCUUUUGGCUUUAAGCUUCGCCUUCUCUUCUUUCUUCUUCCUCUUCAAUUCCUUCUCCUUUGCUCUCAACUCUUGCAGCUGUUUCAUUAAUCCUUGUGCUGCUUCCGAAAGCAACUCGGCCUGACCUUGAUCUACCAAAGCAUCAUCAACACCCAGCCGAGAAAACACGGACAAGUCCUUAUAUAAGCCUUUUAGUAAUUUCAACUUUUUCUUAACAGAUUUUUUCUCCAUCUUAUUCCCUCCUCCAUGGUAAUGCUGCAGAUGCCCGUUAUCUAUAAACUCUAAAGAAUUCAAAACCCUACAUGCUUUUCUGGGUUUCAAAGAAACACCGCAAAAGGAUGGCCUUGAAGAAGAUUGGGCAUUACAAGUUCCAACGUCGGCACCGAAGGGAAAGCAGGAUGGCUGGCGUAAAGCGAAGCCGGAGACCUCCAUGCCUGCCUGGAAUCUCUCUGGGUAUGAGUAAGCGACACGAAUUGGAUCCUUCGUAAAAUCUUUAGGAGUACGAUAUCUUGCGCUUUCUUUUUAAUUCACACGAGGAG